CUAUACAUGACUCUGCGCAUAUCAAUAAGCGGAGGAAAAGAAACUAACAAGGAUUCCCCUAGUAACGGCGAGUGAAGCGGGAAGAGCUCAAAUUUGAAAUCUUCAAGGGUUUCCCUUGACGAAUCGUAGUUUAAAGAAGUGUUUUCUGUUAGAGAGGUGGUAAAAGUUCUUUGGAAUAGGACAUCAUAGAGGGUGAGAAUCCCGUAUUUGACUAUUCUUUCUAGCUUUGUGAUACACUUUCAAAGAGUCGGAUUGUUUGGGAAUGCAGUCCAAAAUGGGUGGUAAAUUUCAUCUAAAGCUAAAUAUUGGCGAGAGACCGAUAGCGAACAAGUACCGUGAGGGAAAGAUGAAAAGAACUUUGAAAAGAGAGUUAAACAGUACGUGAAAUUGUCAAAAGGGAAGCGUUUGACACCAGUGUUGUUUUUCCGAAAAUCAAUUACGAAUGUUUUGUUUUUGAGAAGUUAUGACUUCAUCGGCUUGCUUCUCUCUUUACGAAACUUUCUUAAUGCACUUUUCGGUUAACAAGUCAACAUCAAUUUCUUUUGUUGUAAAAGGGUAUGAGGAAGGUGGCUUUCUUUUCGGAGAAAGUGUUUAUAGCCUUGUACCUCUGCAAUCGGAGAGAUUGAGGUCUGCAGCGUAGAUCCUUCGGGGGUUAGAUACAUUUGUGCUAAGUUAUAGCUUUUCAUAGACAACUUGUUGACUAUGUUAAGUCUUGUAGCUUACUCGCUUAUGCUAUUUUACCUACGCUUAGGAUGUUGAUAGUCACAGCGUGUAC
rnacentral:rRNA from 1 species